UACAAGAUACAAAAUACAAAAAAGUCCACGAUAACCGGCUGGUGAUCCUGAACUUGAACUCUGUCGAGCAUUUCGAGAAAAUGCAUUUAAAAGUGUCGAUGUCGAAAGUGUUCCGAGUGAACGUCGUACGCGUAAGGUUUUGGUGUGGAUGACCGACGCAGACAAUUCGUUUUAAGGAGUGGGAACAUAUUUUUGCAUUAACAAACGUAAAGGAGAAACAAGUACAGCAAGUUGGACAAGGAACGCGGUGGAAUGGACUGGAUGAAAGAUUGGAAGACGCUUCGAAGGACAUGUCUUUUGACAUCCUUUACGUGUCUGUUAGCUGUAUAGGGUGACUGAUAAUUACUGGAGCUUAAGCUUAGUGCAGAGGUUAAAUGGAGUCGACGUCAUAGUUGUCAGGCAUUUUUGAAUUUUAUACGACAAAGGUAACGCGAUCCUCGGCCAUCUUGAAAGGAUUAGAUUCGCUCUGAGAGCGAUAAUAAUAAUACGUGCUCGGCACUUAUUACGAAACUCGAAACUCUUUUACAGCAGGUUUACGCCGAGAGCGGUUAAGAUUACUGGCGGUGUUUUUACUUGGUUAGAAAUUUUCGAGAUUCUACGAAUUUCUUUACACCUUUCUAUGUAAGGAAGCGCGAACCUUGACGAAGUGGAAUAGUGUCCUCGUCGUUUUAUUUACUUUUUACGGAAUUUUUCAAUAUACAGAGGAUUACUCUGGCAUCCGGUUAACGCAAGUUCUCAGGCAUUUGGAUGUUUUAUUCAAGCGAAAAUGCGAAUUUAAGGUCACUUCAGUGAGUGGCAUGUUGGUGGGUCAGGGGUUA